rnacentral:lncRNA from 1 species
GAAAUUCGGAUCCGUAAGUUUUAUUAAUAACUAUUUCAAAAAUAGUAACAUGUAUAUAUAAAAAUUAAUUUUAUUUAAUAUAUUUUCAUUUUUAUAAUAGUAUAUAUAAAUUUAUGUAAAUUUCGUAAUAUUAUACAUAGAAAUAAUUAAAAACAUUAUAUAUAUUUUUAUUUUUAAGUAAUUGUUAAUAUUUUAUAUAUAUUGAUAUUAUUUUUUAUUUAUUUUAAGGAUCCAAAUCUGGAUUCGGAUAUUGUAAUUUUUAGAAGGAUAUUCGACAUCGGAUAUCCGAGAAACUCGGAUCCGGAUAAAUAUAGUAAAAUUAUGGAUCAUCCGGAUACCUUAAAAUUGCUCGGAUAUCCGAUCCGUCUCAGGCCUAGUUGUAACAAUAAUUGAUUUUACUUGGAUAUUUUUUAAAUCAAAGAAUUUAUGGGAUUUCCACAGCAUUUUUUUGCCUUGCCAAGUGACAUCUUAUCUGCCUAAUUAGAAAAAAAUAGCACAAAAUAAAAAUAAAGAG